rnacentral:rRNA from 1 species
UUUUUUGAGAGUUUGAUCCUGGCUCAGGAUGAACGCUGGCGGCGUGGAUAAGGCAUGCAAGUCGAGUGGGUUUAGGCCCACGGCAAACGGGUUAGUAAUGCAUAGGAACGUACCCUGAAGUCGUGAAUAACUUGGAGAAAUCCAAGAUAAUACACGAUAAUCUCUACGGAGUAAAGAUUUAUCGCUUCAGGAGCGGCCUGUGUCCUAUCAGCUUGUUGGUAGUGUAAAGGACUACCAAGGCUAUGACGGGUAGGGGGCGUGAGAGCGUGACCCCCAACAUUGGGACUGAGACACUGCCCAAACACCUACGGGUGGCUGCAGUCGAGAAUAUUCCACAAUGGGCGAAAGCCUGAUGGAGCGACGCCGCGUGAAGGAUGAAGGCCCUUGGGUCGUAAACUUCUUUUCUAUGGGAAAAAUGUAAUGAUGGUACCAUAGGAAUAAGAGGUUGCUAACUCUGUGCCAGCAGCAGCGGUAAUACAGAGACCUCAAGCGUUAUCCGGA